GAUGAACGCUGGCGGCGUGCCUAAUACAUGCAAGUCGAGCGAACAGACGAGGAGCUUGCUCCUCUGACGUUAGCGGCGGACGGGUGAGUAACACGUGGAUAACCUACCUAUAAGACUGGGAUAACUUCGGGAAACCGGAGCUAAUACCGGAUAAUAUAUUGAACCGCAUGGUUCAAUAGUGAAAGACGGUUUUGCUGUCACUUAUAGAUGGAUCCGCGCCGCAUUAGCUAGUUGGUAAGGUAACGGCUUACCAAGGCAACGAUGCGUAGCCGACCUGAGAGGGUGAUCGGCCACACUGGAACUGAGACACGGUCCAGACUCCUAAGGGAGGCAGCAGUAGGGAAUCUUCCGCAAUGGGCGAAAGCCUGACGGAGCAACGCCGCGUGAGUGAUGAAGGUCUUCGGAUCGUAAAACUCUGUUAUUAGGGAAGAACAAAUGUGUAAGUAACUAUGCACGUCUUGACGGUACCUAAUCAGAAAGCCACGGCUAACUACGAG
rnacentral:rRNA from 1 species